rnacentral:tRNA from 1 species
GCGCCCGUAGCUCAGUUGGAUAGAGCAACGGACUUCUAAUCCGUAGGUCGGUGGUUCGAGCCCACCCGGGCGUA